GGUGGGUGUGCAGGGGUUGGAGAGGUGUGUGUGCAGGGGUUGGAGAGGUGUGUAUACAGUGAGGGGAGAGGUGUGUGUGCAGGGGUUGGAGAGGUGUGUAUACAGUGAGGGGAGAGGUGUGUGUGCAGGGGUUGGAGAGGUGUGUAUACAGUGAGGGGAGAGGUGUGUGUGCAGGGGUUGGAGAGGUGUGUAUACAGUGAGGGGAGAGGUGUGUGUGCAGGGGUUGGAGAGGUGUGUAUACAGUGAGGGGAGAGGUGUGUGUGCAGGGGUUGGAGAGGUGUGUAUACAGUGAGGGGAGAGGUGUGUGUGCAGGGGUUGGAGAGG